CUGUUUUCUUCUCCAUUCACGCCUCUUAUCGCCAUUUUCUUCUGUGCUUGCCCUUUCCUUUUGUUCUUUUGAUCUCUAACCCUUUUCCUUAGCUUUGUUGCUUAGUGAUUUAUCUCCUCUUUUUUUUAUGCUUUGUUUGAAAUUAGGGUUCUAAUGAAGAAUGGCGAAAUCUCUUAGUGAUUUAUCUUAGGUUCCAAUGAAGAAUCGCGAAAUGGCGAAAUUACUAUCGAAUCAAGGAAAUUCAGUUCCUCAUUCAUAAUUUCUUGAUUCUUGUUAAAGUGUUGAUGAAGAUUGGGUAUUGACGAAAUCAAUUCUUCUUGAAUUAUCGACGAAAUCAAAUCUUGAUCACCAUAAACAGCUAAGCAUCGAAGAAGAACAUUUGAGUCAUGCAAAGGUUCAAGCAAAAAUUGUAGAUUUAACUGUAAAGAAUGAUCUGUACUCUUAAUUUUGGUUGAUUUUCACUUUUCAAACUGUAAACUUAACUUUACUGUCUUCUCCCUAUUUUUUUCAUUGUUGCAUAUCACCAUAACAGAAAUUGUAGAUUUUAGUUUAAAUUCUUUCUCAUGAACAAAAUUUAUACAGGUAAGUCAUUAAUGUUGAUCAUUUGAUUUCUUUAUUACUUAUAAAAAAUCAUUUAAUCC